rnacentral:SRP_RNA from 11 species
GUGUUGGGGUUGAGACAUUGGUUCGCCCAUUCCAAGUGGGGAAUUGAGCCCCGAGAUCCGGGCGAGAAGACUUAGGUGUCUAGGUUCCAAGAGCGGGGAGGGCACCUUGUGAGGCUGUUUUAACAGUGCACCAUCUCCUCUCGCUCUCGUCGGUGGAGGGUUAACUGGUUGGCUGGCCCAUGC